UACAGAGGUCUCAAGCGUUGUUCGGAUUCAUUGGGCGUAAAGGGUACGUAGGCGGCGCGGUAAGUCGGGGUGUGAAAUCUCGGAGCUUAACUCCGAAACUGCAUUCGAUACUGCCGUGCUUGAGGACUGGAGAGGAGACUGGAAUUUACGGUGUAGCGGUGAAAUGCGUAGAUAUCGUAAGGAAGACCAGUGGCGAAGGCGGGUCUCUGGACAGUUCCUGACGCUGAGGCACGAAGGCCAGGGGAGCAAACGGG
rnacentral:rRNA from 1 species